rnacentral:rRNA from 1 species
AUUGAACGCUGGCGGCAGGCCUAACACAUGCAAGUCGAGCGGAUGAAGGGAGCUUGCUCCUGGAUUCAGCGGCGGACGGGUGAGUAAUGCCUAGGAAUCUGCCUGGUAGUGGGGGAUAACGUCCGGAAACGGGCGCUAAUACCGCAUACGUCCUGAGGGAGAAAGUGGGGGAUCUUCGGACCUCACGCUAUCAGAUGAGCCUAGGUCGGAUUAGCUAGUUGGUGGGGUAAAGGCCUACCAAGGCGACGAUCCGUAACUGGUCUGAGAGGAUGAUCAGUCACACUGGAACUGAGACACGGUCCAGACUCCUACGGGAGGGAGCAGUGGGGAAUAUUGGACAAUGGGCGAAAGCCUGAUCCAGCCAUGCCGCGUGUGUGAAGAAGGUCUUCGGAUUGUAAAGCACUUUAAGUUGGGAGGAAGGGAAGUAAGUUAAUACCUUGCUGUUUUGACGUUACCAACAGAAUAAGCACCGGCUAACUUCGUG